rnacentral:misc_RNA from 1 species
GGAGUGCCUUUUCAUCCUUUUCCACCCCUGCCACCAUAUCCUCGAGGUAAGAGAGGCCCGCCUACAUCUGCCUGUGGUAGUGCAGUUGGACAGUCCUCUCAAGAAGGGCAGGUCAACAGCCAUGAUUCUCGAGCUUCUUUCUCAGAAGAAAGCCCUCCUAGUACAAGUACUAAUUACCAACCAGAUUUGUGCACCCCAUCAAACAACCAACAGAUAAUACCG